rnacentral:rRNA from 2 species
UGGGGAAUUUUGCACAAUGGGGGAAACCCUGAUGCAGCGACGCCGCGUGAUUUAGAAGGCCUUCGGGUUGUAAAAAUCUUUUCUAUGGGAAGAAAAUGACAGUACCAUAGGAAUAAGGACCGGCUAAUUACGUGCCAGCAGCCGCGGUAAUACGUAAGGUCCGAGCGUUGUCCGGAAUCAUUGGGCGUAAAGGGUACGUAGGCGGGUAAGCAAGUUAGAAGUGAAAUCCUAUAGCUCAACUAUAGUAAGCUUUUAAAACUGCUCAUCUUGAGGUAUGGAAGGGAAAGUGGAAUUCCUAGUGUAGCGGUGAAAUGCGCAGAUAUUAGGAGGAAUACCGGUGGCGAAGGCGACUUUCUGGCCAUAUCCUGACGCUGAGGUACGAAAGCGUGGGUAGCAAACAGG